GCAGGAAAAUAAUCCCUUCAGCUGCCUUUGCAAUCCAACAGAGAUUUUUUUUUAGUGAGAGCUGUAGAUGCUUGAAAAUGUAUUCUGUUCUCUGCUGUCAGUUGGACACUGUACCAUCAAAGCUUUUGUUAUGGUGGUGACAAUUUCUGAGCUGUCUGUGUUGAUACAAUCCUCAUGCUGUUCUUGGCUAGGACCUAUUCUAACUGCUGGCAUCCAGAAGAGAGAAAAAUGCUCAGCUGAAUUGUUCCAUUGUUGUUUAAGGCCCCUAUGUUUCUUGAGGACCUUAAAUGUCAGCUCGCUUUGAUGCCAGCAAGAGUGAAGUCGUGUAUACUGAGAAAUACGAGACGCUUUCUGCAGAAACAAAGGAUGUACAUGCAAUGAUGCACUCAGACAAACUCUCAGAAAGCUGAGAUGAAUCUAGGAAUAUCAAGAUUUGUAAGUAUGUUUCCUGUUUUGCUGCAGUGUUUAAGGACAAAAUGACAGUUUACAAGGCAAUGUUUCCCCAGAAAAAUAUUGCCUUUUCUGGGGGGAAAAAAAGUGCCUCACAGCUCUUGCUGCUCCCUGGUAAAUUGAACGCAGCCAGGUGCAGGCUGAAGCACUUGCAGUGGUCCUGAUGACUGCUGAAUCUGAUCUUUUGCUGGGAUUUAUGAAAAGUCUCUCCCAGCUGUAAUUUCUUGACUUGGAC
rnacentral:lncRNA from 1 species